GUGAGGAAUAUUGGUCAAUGGGCGAGAGCCUGAACCAGCCAAGUAGCGUGCAGGAUGACGGCCCUCUGGGUUGUAAACUGCUUUUAUACGGGGGUAAAAAACGCCACGUGUGGCGUCUUGCAAGUACCGUAAGAAAAAGGACCGGCUAAUUCCGUGCCAGCAGCCGCGGUAAUACGGAAGGUUCGGGCGUUAUCCGGAUUUAUUGGGUUUAAAGGGAGCGUAGGCGGGUGUUUAAGUCAGCUGUGAAAGUUUGAGGCUCAACCUUAAAAUUGCAGUUGAUACUGGAUACCUUGAGUGUGCGCAGCGGCAUUGGAAUUCGUAGUGUAGCGGUGAAAUGCUUAGAUAUUACGAAGAACUCCGAUCGCGAAGGCAUAUGCCGGGAGCACAACUGACGCUGAGGCUCGAAAGUGUGGGUAUCAAACAGGAUUAGAAACCCUAGUAGUCC
rnacentral:rRNA from 1 species